AUUGAACGCUGGCGGCAGGCCUAACACAUGCAAGUCGAGCGGAUGAAGGGAGCUUGCUCCUGGAUUCAGCGGCGGACGGGUGAGUAAUGCCUAGGAAUCUGCCUGGUAGUGGGGGAUAACGUCCGGAAACGGGCGCUUAUACCGCAUACGUCCUGAGGGAGAAAGUGGGGGAUCUUCGGACCUCACGCUAUCAGAUGAGCCUAGGUCGGAUUAGCUAGUUGGUGGGGUAAAGGCCUACCAAGGCGACGAUCCGUAACUGGUCUGAGAGGAUGAUCAGUCACACUGGGACUGAGACACGGUCCAGACUCCUACGGGAGGCAGCAGUGGGGAAUAUUGGACAAUGGGCGAAAGCCUGAUCCAGCCAUGCCGCGUGUGUGAAGAAGGUCUUCGGAUUGUAAAGCACUUUAAGUUGGGAGGAAGGGCAGUAAGUUAAUACCUUGCUGUUUUGACGUUACCAAUAGAAUAAGCACCGGCUAACUUCGUG
rnacentral:rRNA from 1 species